rnacentral:ncRNA from 1 species
AAUGACAAGGCUAUGGGCUCUAUUGGGCCCGGAGAAAUCCGCCCAAGGAGGGGCUCACGUCUGAUUAGUUAGUUGGUGAGACAAUAGCUUACCAAGACGAUGACUAGUAGCUGGUACAAGAGGAUGAUCAGACGCACUGGACUGAGACACGACCCAGACUCCUAUGGGAGGUA